AGAGUUUGAUCAUGGCUCAGAUUGAACGCUGGCGGCAGGCCUAACACAUGCAAGUCGAACGGUAACAGGAAGCAGCUUGCUGCUUUGCUGACGAGUGGCGGACGGGUGAGUAAUGUCUGGGAAACUGCCUGAUGGAGGGGGAUAACUACUGGAAACGGUAGCUAAUACCGCAUAACGUCGCAAGACCAAAGAGGGGGACCUUCGGGCCUCUUGCCAUCGGAUGUGCCCAGAUGGGAUUAGCUUGUUGGUGGGGUAACGGCUCACCAAGGCGACGAUCCCUAGCUGGUCUGAGAGGAUGACCAGCCACACUGGAACUGAGACACGGUCCAGACUCCUACGGGAGGCAGCAGUGGGGAAUAUUGCACAAUGGGCGCAAGCCUGAUGCAGCCAUGCCGCGUGUAUGAAGAAGGCCUUCGGGUUGUAAAGUACUUUCAGCGGGGAGGAAGGGAGUAAAGUUAAUACCUUUACUCAUUGACGUUACCCGCAGAAGAAGCACCGGCUAACUCCGUGCCAGCAGCCGCGGUAAUACGGAGGGUGCAAGCGUUAAUCGGAAUUACUGGGCGUAAAGCGCACGCAGGCGGUUUGUUAAGUCAGAUGUGAAAUCCCCGGGCUCAACCUGGGAACUGCAUCUGAUACUGGCAAGCUUGAGUCUCGUAGAGGGGGGUAGAAUUCCAGGUGUAGCGGUGAAAUGCGUAGAGAUCUGGAGGAAUACCGGUGGCGAAGGCGGCCCCCUGGACGAAGACUGACGCUCAGGUGCGAAAGCGUGGGGAGCAAACAGGAUUAGAUACCCUGGUAGUCCACGCCGUAAACGAUGUCGACUUGGAGGUUGUGCCCUUGAGGCGUGGCUUCCGGAGCUAACGCGUUAAGUCGACCGCCUGGGGAGUACGGCCGCAAGGUUAAAACUCAAAUGAAUUGACGGGGGCCCGCACAAGCGGUGGAGCAUGUGGUUUAAUUCGAUGCAACGCGAAGAACCUUACCUGGUCUUGACAUCCACAGAACCCUGUAGAGAUACGGGGGUGCCUUCGGGAACUGUGAGACAGGUGCUGCAUGGCUGUCGUCAGCUCGUGUUGUGAAAUGUUGGGUUAAGUCCCGCAACGAGCGCAACCCUUAUCCUUUGUUGCCAGCGGUCCGGCCGGGAACUCAAAGGAGACUGCCAGUGAUAAACUGGAGGAAGGUGGGGAUGACGUCAAGUCAUCAUGGCCCUUACGACCAGGGCUACACACGUGCUACAAUGGCGCAUACAAAGAGAAGCGACCUCGCGAGAGCAAGCGGACCUCAUAAAGUGCGUCGUAGUCCGGAUUGGAGUCUGCAACUCGACUCCAUGAAGUCGGAAUCGCUAGUAAUCGUGGAUCAGAAUGCCACGGUGAAUACGUUCCCGGGCCUUGUACACACCGCCCGUCACACCAUGGGAGUGGGUUGCAAAAGAAGUAGGUAGCUUAACCUUCGGGAGGGCGCUUACCACUUUGUGAUUCAUGACUGGGGUGAAGUCGUAACAAGGUAACCGUAGGGGAACCUGCGGUUGGAUCACCU
rnacentral:rRNA from 1 species